AGCGUUAACGAACGAGACCUUAACCUGCUAAAUAGCCCGGCUAGCUUUGGCUGGUCGCCGGCUUCUUAGAGGGACUAUCGGCUCAAGCCGAUGGAAGUUUGAGGCAAUAACAGGUCUGUGUUGCCCUUAGAUGUUCUGGGCCGCACGCGCGCUACACUGACAGAGCCAACGAGUCCUCUGCCUUGGCCGGAAGGCCUGGGUAAUCUUUUGAAACUUCAUCGUGCUGGGGAUAGUUCAUUGCAAUUAUUGAACUUCAACGAGGAAUUCCUAGUAAGCACAAGUCAUCAGCUUGUGCUGAUUACGUCCCUGCCCUUUGUACACACCGCCCGUCGCUAAUACCGAUUGAAUGGAUA
rnacentral:rRNA from 1 species